rnacentral:rRNA from 1 species
ACGGAAGGCAGCAGUGGGGGAUAUUGCACAAUGGAGGAAACUCUGAUGCAGCAACGCCGCGUGAGGGACGAAGGUUUUCGGAUUGUAAACCUCUGUUUUUAGUGAAGAAACAAAUGACGGUAGCUAAAGAGGAAGCCACGGCUAACUACGUGCCAGCAGCCGCGGUAAUACGUAGGUGGCAAGCGUUGUCCGGAUUUACUGGGUGUAAAGGGUGCGCAGGCGGGACUGCAAGUUGGAUGUGAAAAUCCGAGGCUCAACCUCGGAACUGCAUCCAAAACUGUGGUUCUUGAGUGGGGCAGAGGUAAGCGGAAUUCCGAGUGUAGCGGUGAAAUGCGUAGAUAUUCGGAGGAACACCAGUUGCGAAGGCGGCUUACUGGGCUCUAACUGACGCUGAGGCACGAAAGUGUGGGUAGCAAACAGGAUUAGAUACCCUGGUA